rnacentral:ncRNA from 1 species
GGGUGUUGGCGAAUUGUUGCCAACAUCACUUUUUCUCCUUCGAUGUCGGCUCUUUUAUCAUUGUGAAGCAAAAUUCACCAAGCGUUGGAUUGUUCACCCGUGCAAGGGAACGUGAGCUGGGUUUAUACCGUCAUGAGACAGGUU